rnacentral:rRNA from 1 species
CCUACGGGAGGCAGCAGUAGGGAAUUUUCGGCAAUGGGGGGAACCCUGACCGAGCAACGCCGCGUGAACGAAGAAGUUAUUCGUAAUGUAAAGUUCUUUUAACAGGGAAGAAAGAGAAAUUUGACGGUACCUGAAGAAUAAGCUCCGGCUAACUACGUGCCAGCAGCCGCGGUAAUACGUAGGGAGCGAGCGUUAUCCGGAAUUAUUGGGCGAAAAGGGUGCGUAGAUGGCAUAGUAAGUCUUUUGUAAAAAUGCUGGGCUCAAACCAGUAGGGCAAAAGAUACUGCAAAGUUAGAGUAUGACAGAGGCAAGUGGAACGACAUGUGUAGCGGUAAAAUGCGUAAAUAUAUGUAAGAACACCAGUGGCGGAGGCGGCUUGCUGGGUCGAUACUGACAUUGAGGCACGAAAGCGUGGGGAGCAAACAGGAUUAGAUACCCGAGUAGUC